GGGCCACUUCACAAUGCGCUAGGGGCAGGGAGGAGAGGCCUUCAGGAACCAGCGGGUACAGGAGUCUGAACCUAAGUCCAGCUGCCCUGAGCGCUGGGGAAGUAGCAGUUAGGACUUCCUGUCACCUUCCCCUCUGCGGUGAGACACCUCUUCUCCUCUUAAACCGCUGUCCUUUGUACUUUUGAACUUGAGAACAGCAGAACUGACCGAGGCCUUCGGGGUCCCCAGCCUGGAAGCCAUGGCCCUGUCCCAGCGGAUGAAGGGGGCUGGAAGGGAAGCUGUGGGUCGUCUGGGGUCCUGAGCACAGCCAGCAGCUUGCAUGGGCCCCAGAGCCCUCCGCUGUGCGCCUGGUGCCUGAGAAUGUGGCCGCUGCCCCACAGGGACACAGGCAGCUGGACACAGCUGAUCCUCAGGUGGGGCAAAGCGGAGAGACCAGCAAGGACCCUGCACAAGCGUGAGCACCAGGACGUGAGCUCACAUGGAUGUGUCCAUAAGUCAAAGCACACGCUGGGUUCCAGAGAUAUAGUGUGAAAAAAGUGCCAACUCUCCCA